rnacentral:rRNA from 1 species
GCAGUCGAGCGGUAACAGAUCCAGCUUGCUGGAUGCUGACGAGCGGCGGACGGGUGAGUAAUGCAUAGGAAUCUGCCCGAUAGUGGGGGAUAACCUGGGGAAACCCAGGCUAAUACCGCAUACGUCCUACGGGAGAAAGGGGGCUCCGGCUCCCGCUAUGGGAUGAGCCUAUGUCGGAUUAGCUAGUUGGUGAGGUAACGGCUCACCAAGGCCACGAUCCGUAGCUGGUCUGAGAGGAUGAUCAGCCACAUCGGGACUGAGACACGGCCCGAACUCCUACGGGAGGCAGCAGUGGGGAAUAUUGGACAAUGGGGGAAACCCUGAUCCAGCCAUGCCGCGUGUGUGAAGAAGGCCCUCGGGUUGUAAAGCACUUUCAGCGA